rnacentral:misc_RNA from 1 species
AACGGGAAUGCUUAAUUUUUCAGGAAGAAAACUGGAAUUACACGAGUUUGAGCCUAUUGUCAUGAGGGUGUCCAAAGCGUCGAUGCCAAAGACACCAUUUUUUAUUAGCUAAUGAAAAUUUGGAAGCUAAAGAAACAAAAUAACAAAAUAGAACAGAAUACUUUUUGGCGCAAUGAGGUGUAGAAGGGAUAUCCAGGUCCAACGGGAAAUUGCCCUUGCUUAUGACCCUUCCUGAUCAGUUUCCCAGUUUGCAGGUCCUAAUAAACCAGCAGCGGAGAAAGCAGAGGAUAUAGCACCUAGAAGAGCUGAUUGUAAAGUAG